CCCCCCCCCCCCCCCCCCCCCCCCCCGGGCUCCCCAUCGAUUCCCAGCAGUCGUUGUCCAUGAGCGGCUCCACUUCCCAUUUCCUCUCCGGAGCCGGCGGGAAGGUCUUUGGGAGCCGCUCUCAGCUCCAAAAUAAAUCACGGCUAAUUCCUCUAAGCGGAAUCAAUCAGCAACCUGUAAAAGAGGGCGGCUGUUGGUCGAUGCUGGCAGAAAAGCAAACAGCGCUGAGCCUCUCCCGGCCAUUAGGCCCUAAAUGGCCCCGAAAGUCAAUCAAUACCUGCAGGCAGCCCUCCGGCUAUUGUUUGGCCAGGAGAGAUGGAUUUUCUCUGGCUUGCGGCGCUCCUCCGGGACAACCGAUAAUCCUGGGAGAGUCCUAAUAAGUUCGUUAUCUAGUUGGGCUCUCGCUGGAGCAUUUAAAUGGGCCCCAUCCAUCAGUCACCCUGGUUCAAGGUAGGGGGGCCUGACAGCCCGCUUUACCUGGGACGGCUCUCUACCCCGGGAGGACACGGGACUCCGGGCCACGCGUGGCCAUUCCCUUCCAGCACUGAGCCCAACGGGAGCAGAGGCCGCCGGCCACCCAAGGGGGGCAUCUCACAUCCGGGCAUCAGAGACGGCAACGAGAUUCAUCAAUCUGGAGGUCAGCUGCGCUGGGAUGCCAUUUUCCUCGCCAAUGUUCCCCAACUGGUUUCGCUAAACAAGACAGGAUCAGGAGGUGACGUCGUGACUAUGGGGGGCUCUCACGAAGGCAGCGCCCUCUGCCGCUACUGCGUGUGCUCACUUGUCUGCCCGCUCCAGGCCUGGAGCUCCCCUCACUGCUCAGGUCGGACCGCCAGUCACUGGGCCGGAGGAGAGGAUCUCCGGAGCUCCCCAGGCCGUGCCGGGCCGCCUUUCUUUCCCUCAGAGCCCAUCGGUGCUUCUUUCUUCCUUGGGCCGUCACACGCUUGGCUCGAACCAUUCUGUCCUGCCCUGGUUCUCAGCCAAAGAAAUUCUUGAUGAGGGAGAGACCGGCAAAGAGGGCCUUCCCGGAAGGAUCCUCCUGUCCAAAGUCUCUUUUCUCCUGGAGACGCACCGCAAAGAUGAUCCCUCCAAUGGGAGGCGUCCCCGAGCUCCCCCCUCCCCCCAGUCCGGCGACGCUCCAGCCCAGGUAAGGCGGAGGAAGGCAGACUCUUCCUGGUAAGGUCAUGCUCCUCCAGGGAGAGCAGGGAACAAGGCAGGCCCGAGCACAUAUAGGAAUGCUUGCCCUGCAGGGAGACGCGUGCUACGGACCUGAAGUCAGAAGGGGAAAGAGAAAAGAGAAAAAGACCUCGUGCAGGCAUGGGGUCAAGGUGCCAGCCAGGAUCUGGUGCCGGCAAAGAAAGCACAAAAAGGGGCCCCUCCCAAGCGCACAGAAUUCGCCGCGGCCCAAGGAAUGAAGCGGUGCUUGGCCAUGGUUCCUUUGAGACGGUGUAGAAGUGGGCUCCCCUUUGUGUGUGGGUGCCAAGAGUCCCACAACUGCCACUUCAAGUAUUCUUAAUUCGAUGCUUUUGUUAUCUGACGAGCCACGCAAUGGUUUGCUGUUGGCUCAGAUUCGUGAGGUGAAAAACGACUUAUCGCCAACAGCCACAGUGAUUCUGAUGGGUGUCCACAGGGCAUCCUAGGUGGCCAUGAGUGCCGAUAUCGGUCCUACGGGGCAUCCUAGGUGGCCAUGAGUGCCGAUAUCAGUCCUACGGGGCAUCCUAGGUGGCCAUGAGUGCGGAUAUCGGUCCUACGGGGCAUCCUAGGUGGCCAUGAGUGCGGAUAUCGGUCCUACGGGGCAUCCUAGGUGGCCAUGAGUGCCGAUAUCGGUCCUACGGGGCAUCCUAGGUGGCCAUGAGUGCGGAUAUCGGUCCUACGGGGCAUCCUAGGUGGCCAUGAGUGCGGAUAUCGGUCCUACGGGGCAUCCUAGGUGGCCAUGAGUGCGGAUAUCGGUCCUACGGGGCAUCCUAGGUGGCCAUGAGUGCGGAUAUCGGUCCUACGGGGCAUCCUAGGUGGCCAUGAGUGCGGAUAUCGGUCCUACGGGGCAUCCUAGGUGGCCAUGAGUGCCGAUAUCGUUAAGUGCUUCUUUACUAGACUCCCAUAACCAGAGACCUUUUGCAAUGGUCAGAUUUUAAGACUACAUUUUCAAAAACAAAAUAAUGUGAAAAUAUCAAGGAAAAGACAUCCUUCACUAUCUGAUUUCAGGGAAGGUAAAAAAACUGAAUAAGAUGGAGUGAGUGCACGUUCCCAUUGGUCCAGCCCUCUCUAAUGAUCAGCCCCCACCUACUGUUUUCCCCAAACCUCUCUUUCUUUACAUCCCCUUCUCAGUUCUCUGGGAUCUUGACAAAUGCAAAUCGUCCCUGAAUAGGAAGCUAUCUGGUUACUACAGCGGCCUGGCAAACACAGAGCAGUCUUUUUCUGCUGUUUCCAUCCUCUAGACAUGGCCAGGAGGGGGAUAAAAAAUUGGUACCCAGAAAAUCAGUGAUGGAAAAGAAGAUCAAUUAGGUCAUUUAGUCCAUUUCCAAGGCUCCAAUUUUCUCCUUCAGCAGAUUAACUUUGUCCUGUCCAGCUCUAAGUGACUGAAGAGAUGGCUUUCGACAACUUCGUUGGACUCUUUUCUCAAUCAAAUUUAUCUGAAUCAAAGCAUCAUUAAAGACUUUGCUAUUAGAGUCAAA